rnacentral:rRNA from 1 species
CACUUGGAGAGUGGCAAGUCUUCCAGUAUGGGGAGCAAAACAGCUAUGGGUCAAGUUGAACAUAGGAGGCGCGAAGCUCCUCUUAUUGUGAGGGCGAGUAAAAUAACACCAUAGGACUGGCCGUCCCAUAUGAAAAGAUUAUAUUAGAAUUGAAUGAAGCUUUGUUUAUAUAUUGAUAAUGACAGUAUAUAUAUCGUGUCUUGACUAAUUGCGUGCCAGCAGUCGCGGUAAUACGUAAGAGACUAGUGUUAUUCAUCUUAAUUAGGUUUAAAGGGUACCCAGACGGUCAAUAUAGCUUAUAAAAUGUUAGUACUUGACUAGAGUUUUAUGUAAGAGGGCAGUACUUGAGGAGGAGAGAUGAAAUUUCGUGAUACCAAAGGGACUCUGUAAAGGCGAAGGCAGCCCUCUAUGUAAAAUCUGACGUUGAAGGACGAAGGCACAGAGAACAGACGGGAUUAGAUACCCAAGUAGUCUUUGCAGUAAAUGAUGAAUGCCAUAGGUUAGAUGGGUGGGCUAGUCUAGUUGAGUUAAUUUAGCAAACUAAUGAUCUAGACUAGUCCACCAUAUAUUUGGUCUAUAAAUGAAAGUGUAAGCAUUUCACCCUCAAGAGUAAUGUGGCAACGCAGGAACUGAAAUCACUAGACCGUUUCUGACACCAGUAGUGAAGUAUGUUAUU